GCCGGGGUCAGGGGGGCUGCAGCGGGGCACGGACGGCCCGGGGGGUGCAAAGCGGCGGGAGGGUGCCAGGGGCGGAUGCACAGAGGGCUGAGAGCCGGGCAGGCAGGAGCGAGAAGGGGCGAAGAUGCAGAGGGUCGAGGGGCGGGAGGUGUGCGGGGGCAGAGAUGCGAGGAGCAGAGAUGCGAAGGGGAGGGAUGGGAAAAGGCAGAGAUGCGAAAGGGGCAGAGAGGCAAAGGGGUGGGCUGUAAGCGAGAGAGGUGCAAAGGGGGAGGUGAAAAGGGAGGAUACAAAGGGGAGGGAUGCAAAGGCAGGGUUGCAAAGAGGAGGAAUGCAAAGGGAAGAGGUGGACAGGGAAAGAGGGAAGAUGUAGAAGAGCAGAGAUGGGAAGGGCAGACGUACUUCGGGCUGAGUGCAGCUGCUGCCCGACACUCCCUGGACCCGGGGGAUCCACCGGCUGAUCUGAGACGUUCUUCAGUGCAGUGUGAAUGCUUUUGUACUGUGAACUCAGCGUGGGUCUGACAAGUGCUGUAGCCAAAACCAGCUAAUCAGAGGAGCACCAAUAGAGCCAAUUACUGCUCAGGCUGCACUUUCAGCCACUCAUGCAUGUGCCACAGUUAUUCAUUCACUUCCUCUGCUUAGAUAGUCUUGUAGACUUUGAGACAGGCUCAUGAUUUUCCCAGGCAGGAGCUCUUCUUUUUUUUUUCCACACAUUUUUACAGAUAUUUAAAUCAACGGUUUCUCCCCCUGGGCUAUGUAAUUUUCUUUGCUGUUUCUGUGGCAAUGUAGGUGAUUGAAAUGUUUUAAUGAAACAUUGCUCUGCUCUGUCUCUCUUUGCCUCUAAAGAAUUGACUGAGUUGAGCAUUAGUCCAGGUACCCAACAGGAGAGCACAGUGCUUGGUCUGGCUGCCUCUCUGAUGGGUGUAGGUGAUCUGAAACCUCAGCCCAGCUGUCUUUUAUUUAUGUAUCUGCAGUGAUUCCUUUGUAGUCCAGGGUACAAAAUAUCAAACCCAGAUUUUUUUCCCCCCCUGUGCACUGCUCUUUAAACUGGGUGACCUACAAAGAUGGGUAUUUGGCUGUGCUAGUGUCCCC
rnacentral:lncRNA from 1 species